CUUACAUUAAGCAGCAAGACAAUAUUCCCUACUUGUGCGUAUUCAAGUUAGAAAAGAAAACCCUCAGCUUUGAAAGUACUCUACUCACCAAUUCAGGAGCCUAGAACUUGGAUUGAAGCCACUGGGCUCUCUGGGUGUAGAAACCUCAGAUGCUAGCCACCCUCCCCCUUCUUCCUAUUAUUCUAACACCUCAAUUAUGGUCCUGUGUAUUGCUUAUGUCUUCGAAAAUACUUUCUAGUAGCUUAUCCCUCCACCUCUCUUUAAACUAGAAAGUAUCCAACUGGCAAUCCUUGAAUCAUAAAGGAAGCCAAGACGCCCCUGACUGCUGUCACCGACCGUUAAAAAGUGCCUUCGUGACAAUCUGACAAUCGGAAAGAGAUCUUGCCCUUGCACUGGAGGCCAGACCAGCAUCCCCGAGCGGGUCUGGCGUAGCUCCGAUCGUGGGCCCAGCUCAGAGCCCUCCAGCCUCCACCGCAGCCUCCCGCGGCGGAGAGCACAGUCGUCCCGCAGCCGUCCGCCCAUCCAGGGGGUGUGGCUGGGCGCUGGCGGCCGGAGGAAGGCAGAGGGGUGCCCGUCUGGAGUGGAGGUGACACUGCACCUGAGAGUUGCGAGGGUGCAUGCAUCAACAGGAAGACAGUGAAAAGGUCGUAGACAAGAAGAAACUUUACUAGACACACUUUAGAAUGUAGAAGUUUCAACUCACCAAUUUUAAUUUAGAUGUUCAGUAUUUAUAAGAAAUUAUUUCAAUACAAGCAUAAUGAAAUGAAGAUGGCCACUUAAUGGAGAAGAGAGUCAGCAGAAAGGGGAAAGAAGAGAAAAGGGGCAGCCAGGCAAGAGGAGGGCGACAGACUCAGCUGAGAAGGGAGAAGAGCCCCUCACCGGGUCCCUGCAGGUCCUAAUGGCCAUAACUCCACCUAGCUUGGGUGUUCCAUUCACUCAGAAGCUUAUCAAAGUCAUUCACCUAUCAAAAUUUCUUUGGUCAGAUCCUACUUGCAUAAAGAAACCUUCACCCUUUUUUCUUCUUCCAACCCGUUUUGCAGACCCUUCUGUCCUUAGCUCAACCUUAUCUUGCUUCCAUGAUAUGGGAGGAAGAGAAUGUGUCCUGCCAAGUGGCCUGUACAAACCAACCCACACUGGCUCUGGCUCAAAAUAUCUUCUCCUGGGCGGGUACCAAGAGGAAGAAGAAAGGAAAGAAUAAGAGAAAAUGAAAAGCAAAGCAAAACAAAACACCCAAAUAAUUUUUCAAAUGUUUAAUAAAUAUUUCCAAAGAUUUGUCAAAGACUUAACUUUAGAGAUUAAGCUCACAUUACAAUUUAUAAUUGCAAAAGAAAAACAGACCAAACCAACAAACAAAACAAAAUAAAACAAAACUAACCAGAGGCUCCUGCCAUUGGCCUUCAGAGUAAAAGAAAAAUAAAGAAUUAAUUUUGUGUGGUGUUUUUAUUUUGAAUUUGGGUUUGGGUUUUUGAGAUAAGGUUUUGGUAUGUAGUUCAGGCUGGCCUUCAAUCACUGUGAUCCCCCUGGCUCAGCCUGCUGAGUGCUGGAAUUAAAGAUGUGUGGCACGACCAGCUCAGAGUAAAUAAUUAAGGAUGACAUUUAACAGAAAAGGCAUAUUGGCUUUGGAUUUAUAGUUGAAAAAAUCUGAUCAUCGGGGAUUGUUCCACCCAUUAGAAUGUAUCUAUUGUGAGUUAUUUCCUAUAGUCAGAGUUUCAGAGUUCAUAGGUUUAUAGCUAUUUUCAAGUGAUACUUAGAUACUCUGUGUUCUAAAUUUUUUUGGAUUAUUUUCUUGGUUGAUGAAACCUUUUCCUCUUUACCGUUGUUUCAGUCUUUGAUAAUGAGUUACACUAUGAAAUGCUGGGUUGACUAUGAAAUGUCAAAAACCUGUAUAUCUGGAGGAGGAGACAGCAUGCAUUUUGGUUUUUCAGAUAGAAUGUAGUUGCAGGUUCGAAAUCCAAAUGAUUGUAGAUUUAGGACUUCAUGCCUUAAACAGAUUAAUUGGUUGGGUAGUACCUUUUUAUGCUUUUCACUUUUCUGUUGAAUUCCAUAAAUAUUAAACACAACAUUUUUUAACUUCUAGGAGGCAGAAAUGACUUGAAAAUAUGGUAUAGUCACUUUGUGAAUUAAUGAAAAAAUGUUAAUUUAAUUAUAAUGUAGAAAUUAUUCAAUUCUGGAAGGCAAAUUGGACUUUAUAUGUGAUGUGAUAAUGAAACUUUUCCUGUGGUGGUAAUAGUGACUACUACUAAUUAUCAAAAUUUAAUACAACAUAAUGUAUAUAAGAUUGUACCUUGAAUUAGCCUAAUUGUUUGAAGGGUUUUUGGCCUAUUAGCCUGGCUGUUAAUCUGUGUGUAGGAUAAUUAACUUGAUAAUUAACUUUAUAAGGAUUUAUAAGUAAAUGAAUCUGAUGAUGCAAAAUACAGGGAGGAGGGAAAGGGAAAAAAGAAUUGAAAGUGUUAUGUGCAUAUUCCAAUUCACAACAAUGAUUGCAAUCAUUAUAUACUGCAAAUGUACUAAUAAAAAUUUGAAAAAGGAAAAAUUGUAACAGUAUCUUGAGGUGUACAUACAUAUGAAGGCAAAUUUCAGUGACUAAUACUAAAAGAUUAAUAUUCUCUCAUUUUGUUAAAUGUAGUGAGCACUGAAACUAAUUAUGUUGCCUCCAAUUAUACUGCCUGGAAUAAAAUAUCUAGUUUGGCUAAAAGUAUUAACUUUUUAAUUAAAAGAUAAGUUACAAUUACUAUCACUACACAGCAGCUAGUUUUAAAAACUGUGAACUUACCAGGCUGCUUAAAUACGAAGAACUUUUUAAAACUUCUGAAAUGUAGUGUAUCAUUUAAUAAAUGUUUAUUACUUGUC